rnacentral:rRNA from 1 species
CACGUAGGGCGCAAGCGUUGUCCGGAAUUAUUGGGCGUAAAGAGCUCGUAGCGGUCUGUUGCGUUCCGCUGUGAAAACUCGGGGCUUAACCCCGAGCCUGCAGGUGGAUACGGGCAGACUAGAGGUAGGUAGGGGAGAAUGGAAUUCCCGGUGUAGCGGUGAAAUGCGCAGAUAUCGGGAGGAACACCGGUGGCGAAGGCG